AUGCCCAGUGAUUAUAAAAAGACGCGUUAUUCUGAGGAACACAACCUGCUGCCGGUCUGUCCUCCACCUUCCUCUCUUUGCUCCGUCUUUCCUAUCCUCCCUCCACUCCUUCUUUUCUUUAAACUGGUAGCUGGUCCAUUGACUGCGAUUAUGAGAUAUGAGGGCAU